rnacentral:rRNA from 1 species
UACGGAGGAUGCGAGCGUUAUCCGGAUUUAUUGGGUUUAAAGGGUGCGUAGGCGGAAUACCAAGUCAGCGGUAAAAAUUCGGGGCUCAACCCCGUCGUGCCGUUGAAACUGAUGUUCUUGAGUGGGCGAGAAGUAUGCGGAAUGCGUGGUGUAGCGGUGAAAUGCAUAGAUAUCACGCAGAACUCCGAUUGCGAAGGCAGCAUACCGGCGCCCAACUGACGCUGAAGCACGAAAGCGUGGGUAUCGAACAGG